rnacentral:rRNA from 1 species
GAGUUUGAUCCUGGCUCAGAACGAACGCUGGCGGCAGGCUUAACACAUGCAAGUCGAACGCUCCGCAAGGAGAGUGGCAGACGGGUGAGUAACGCGUGGGAACGUACCCUUUACUACGGAAUAACGCAUGGAAACGUGUGCUAAUACCGUAUGUGCCCUUCGGGGGAAAGAUUUAUCGGUAAAGGAUCGGCCCGCGUUGGAUUAGCUAGUUGGUGGGGUAAAGGCCUACCAAGGCGACGAUCCAUAGCUGGUCUGAGAGGAUGAUCAGCCACAUUGGGACUGAGACACGGCCCAAACUCCUACGGGAGGCAGCAGUGGGGAAUAUUGGACAAUGGGCGCAAGCCUGAUCCAGCCAUGCCGCGUGAGUGAUGAAGGCCCUAGGGUUGUAAAGCUCUUUCACCGGAGAAGAUAAUGACGGUAUCCGGAGAAGAAGCCCCGGCUAACUUCGUGCCAGCCGCCGCUGUAAU